UGGUGGAGUGAUUUGUCUGGUUAAUUCCGAUAACGAACGAGACCUUAACCUGCUAAAUAGCCCGGCCCGCGUUUGCGGGUCGCAGGCUUCUUAGAGGGACUAUCGGAUUUCAAGACGAUGGAAGUUUGAGGCAAUAACA
rnacentral:rRNA from 1 species